AGUUGAAACAACUUAAAACUUUUCUGUUCUCUUAACGAUUCAAACAGUUAUAAUUGUACAUGGCUUAGAAGUUAAGAGUAAAUACUGCUUUCUUAAUUAUGAUUUUUGAGUAAAUGUUUUUUUUCCGAGCUCCGCAUGUGUACGUCAUGACGUCAUGACGUUUUCUCUCUAACCUGAACGACGUUGACAGAAAAUUCUGUUCAAUAUGGCUGCCCUUCUCGAGCGACUGGAGAGCACAUUUGGAGAAACUUGCUGAAGACCGAAGAAAAAAACUUCAGACUGCAAGUAAUUUCAGGUGGAGACAGUAAACACAGAUCUACCAAGGGUCGGUGGCACAGUUCAACUUUUGUGGUAAGUUAUAACACUUCAUAUUUAGUCACAUAAGUAAGUUGUUUCUUCAGUUGUUGAGUUCUUAUAAAAUAAUUUUGUAUAAUUGUACAAAAUUACUGAGGAUACAUCGAAUGUGUAAAUCCCAAUCAACAAUUUUACUGUGAUAUUCGCUCAUGUUUAGAGAAUCUCCAUUAUAUUGAUUACUGAGUUUCCAUUUUUUGUAGGGCCAAAUUUGUAUUAAAAAUUAAUAUUUUCAUGUGAUGUGAAAAUACUCAAUCAUUUUUAAUUUUUAAAAGAAACCAUUCAUUAAGUACCUUAAAGUGCAGAUUUCAGUAGUUGCUGAAAUGCAUAUAAAAUGUCCCCCAAAAAACGUCUUGAUACGUUGAUUGGGGUAUUUCAAAAUUAAAAAUGUUUAGAAACCCAAAUUUUGACUGAAAGUUUCAUAAUCUGGACGUGUGAUGUAACUGAAGGGAGUUGUAUGUUAUGCCCUGUUGGCAGUAAGUGGUGUUUGUGAGCGUAUAUAAUUAUGAUUCGGGUAUGUUUAAAGCUGACCUUUACAGUUAACUCCUGGCUAAAAAGAUGUCCAAAGCUGUGAUGUCAUAGCUGGACACCAUGGUCAUUUUAGUCUUGGCUGAACAUUCACUGUGUUCUGCAAU